GGGGCAAGUAUGGACACAACAUUCAAGCUGGAUUCAGUUCUAAAUUUGGAUUGUGAUUAAAUAGUUGACACAGCAUAGGUUUCUGACACAGAAUGAAUGUGGUCUAAUGAACUUAAAGUUUUUGUUUUGCCUUUGAGCAAUUCACUAUGCUGUUGAAUAUUAAUCCUCUCAAAAAAUUGUUUGAAGAAAUUUUCUUUUUAUUUAUGAAAUCUGAAAUGAGAAAAAUUGACCCCCCCCC
rnacentral:lncRNA from 1 species